GGCCUCACAGGUCAUAAUUUCUGGCUCCUCCCCUACAUGAAUCAAGCCUCGAUACGCGCUGUGCGGAAACGCCCCCUCCAUCACUCGACACAUGCCUCGAAGCCUCGGCACAUUUCGUCCCAUCACUACAAAAAAGGAUAUGAAGCUGGAUGGCACGGCGCGGACUCGCUUUUCCUCGGCAGCUGGAGCAGCCGGGACCUCUGCUGGCAGCACGCUUGGACACGCCCCUGCUCGCGCUGGGCGCAGCAUGCCCACGCAGCGACAAGGCUGCAGGCAAUUGCGCAUCAGCGCACCUGUACCUGAUGAGAGGGAGCGGCAUAAAAGCCAGCAGACCCAAAGGACCUUCGCCGGAACGUAGCCAAUCUCCCUGAUGUCUUCCCUGUUGCCUGUGAUCGUGUCUUGCCUCACGACCUCCUCCCGGAUCUCUGCUUGCCUCCCUCGAUCCUCUACCCCUGCUUUGACGCGAACAUCGUUGCCUCUCUCCAGCCCCUGACUGCUUGCCUCGCCGCUGACUGCC